rnacentral:rRNA from 1 species
UGGAGGGCAAGUCUGGUGCCAGCAGCCGCGGUAAUUCCAGCUCCAAUAGCGUAUAUUAAAGUUGUUGCAGUUAAAAAGCUCGUAGUUGAAUUUCGGGAUCAAUUUACUGGUCGUGCAAUCGUACGUACUGGUUUUAUUGAUUCCUCUCUUCUGAAGAACUAUGAUGUCAUUAAUUUGGUGUCAUAGGGAAUCAGGACUGUUACUUUGAAAAAAUUAGAGUGUUUAAAGCAGGCUCACGCUUGAAUACAUUAGCAUGGAAUAACGAAAUAGGACGUUUGAUUCUAUUUUGUUGGUUUCUAGGAUCGACGUAAUGAUUAAUAGGGAUAGUUGGGGGCAUUAGUAUUCAAUUGUCAGAGGUGAAAUUCUUGGAUUUAUUGAAGACUAACUACUGCGAAAGCAUUUGCCAAGGAUGUUUUCAUUAAUCAAGAACGAAAGUUAGGGGAUCGAAGACGAUCAGAUACCGUCGUAGUCUUAACCAUAAACUAUGCCGACUAGGGAUCGGAUGAUGUUAAAUUAAUGACUCAUUCGGCGCCUUACGGGAAACCAAAGUGUUUGGGUUC